rnacentral:rRNA from 1 species
GUCUUUGGACAAAAAAACAUAUAAUGUAUGGAAA